rnacentral:rRNA from 1 species
CGGUGUUUAACUGGCGUGAUGUGGGACGUCCUACCGGUGGGCUUAGCCUCGCGAGGGGCGGCCCAACUAAUAUCCCGUCGCGGUGCUCUUUACUGAGUGUCGAGUCGGGCCGGUACGUUUACUUUGAACAAAUUAGAGUGCUUAAAGCAGGCUAUCCUCGCCUGAAUACUGCGUGCAUGGAAUAAUGGAAUAGGACCUCGGUUCUAUUUUGUUGGUUUUCGGAACCCCGAGGUAAUGAUUUAUAGGGACAGAUGGGGGCAUUCGUAUUGCGACGUUAGAGGUGAAAUUCUUGGAUCGUCGCAAGACGGACAGAAGCGAAAGCAUUUGCCAAAAAUGUUUUCAUUAAUCAAGAACGAAAGUUAGAGGUUCGAAGGCGAUCAGAUACCGCCCUAGUUCUAACCAUAAACGAUGCCAGCGAGCGAUCCGCCGAAGUUCCUCCGAUGACUCGGCGGGCAGCUUCCGGGAAACCAAAGCUUUUGGGUUCCGGGGGAAGUAUGGUUGCAAAGCUGAAACUUAAAGGAAUUGACGGAAGGGCACCACCAGGAGUGGAGCAUGCGGCUUAAUUUGACUCAACACGGGAAACCUCACCAGGCCCAGACACCGGAAGGAUUGACAGAUCUGAUAGCUCUUUCUUGAUUCGGUGGGUGGUGGUGCAUGGCCGUUCUUAGUUGGUGGAGCGAUUUGUCUGGUUAAUUCCGAUAACGAACGAGACUCUAGCCUGCUAAAUAGGCGUACCUUAUGGUAUCGCGAAGGCCCCCGGCUUCGGCCGGUGGGUUUUUACUACCAACGCACAACCAAAUCUUCUUAGAGGGACAGGCGG